UUAGUUCACUUCAAAGCUGCACUAAUGUCUGAUGUAGUUAAGUGGUAAAAUUAGAGAAUUCAGCCUUACAGUAGUGCUGUUCAUUGGGGAUCUACUAAGUAGAUGUCAUUAGUUCCAUUUAAGUUGUAUAAUUGCAGAUGAAAAGAGAGGUAAGAGCAUCUUAGUGCAUUGAGUAACUGUGUUUUUCUUUACAAAGCUCUCAUAACUACUAGUAAAUCCUACUGGUAGGAUACAUCCUGAAGCUUUUCUACAGAAAUGAUCUGGGAAGACUACUUCGCAUAUGGGAGGAAUGCACUGUUGUGGACUGCGAACUGCCAGGAACCAGCUGGAUAUUUCACUAGUGAUUUUUUUCAUUUUCGCGUUGCCAAAUUUGUGUUGUUUUUACUAAUUUAAAAAGAAGUCAUCCAAGCAGUGUGCUGUCAACUCAGUAGGGACGGUAAAGCAAAGACAAGGAGAGAGCAGGUAAAAGCCAGACACUGCUCAAGGGGAGAUCAGGCCUCAACCCAUGGGGGAGGUGGUUCUUCAAAUUAUGCAGUGUGUAAGGUAGGUAGAACCUUGCUUUAGAGUGAGUGAAAAAAUGGGAAGUAUUAAUUUUGGGGAUUUUCUGGCGAAAGUCGUCUCUUUUCCUGUUAAGAUAAUGCGUAAAAUGUGUGCGUGCUUUUGUGUGCGUGUUUUGGUUUAUUUUGGGGGGCUUAAUUUCCGCUAGUCCAAGUAUCUAGGAUUAGGGAAUUCUGUCUGCAUUAGCAAGCCUAGCUCAACAUUUAAUGCCCAGCAUGUAUUCCAGUGUUGCCAGCAGGCUAGAGUUAAUGUUCUGCUUCCGCCUGGGAGCAGUGGUUUCAAAGCAGGGUGUCUGAGCAGGAUGAACUGUGUGCCUGGAGCUGCUGCUCCUGUUUGGUUUCUCAGGUAGAACAACUUUUUGUCCUGCAGACAGGUGAGAUGAGACAGCUUCAGUGCUACCCUUUCCAGGGCUGCUUAAUGUGGUACAAGUGAGAAGUGUAACCAAACUCAGCAUCCUGCUCCUGUAAGAAGACAAGGAUGGUUUCUGGGUUCUUUCCUCUACUUGGAACUCUUCCUUAACCCUUUAAAGCUUCAAAAUGAGAACGAGGCAGGACAUAUUGGUCCAUAGUUUAAAUCAUAACCUCCCAGUGACCGUUUGGGCCAUAGAUGCUUGUAGUACUAUUAGAAAUCUUGCAUCUUCUCCUUCAGUAUAGAAACAAUGGAACAGCUACAGCCAGGACAACAUCCUGAGGGUGUGAUGGUGGUUUAAGAAAAAUGGAACAGCUACUCUGGAAACUAGAGAUGCCUCUUGACCUGCGGCAGGAAGACGCCCUGGCGGUGCUGUUGCCUCUCGUUCACGUGCGCGCAGCGGGUGAAAGGUUGGUUCCUGAAGCCUUCAGAAGAAGUCACCUGCUUCAACUCAGGUACAUCGGUGAUGGGCACAAAUCUCUAUGAAAGAUGGACCCAACCAUGAAUGUUUGUUUCACAAUACAAUAGCAGAAAGAGUAUGAGUGUGAUGUAAAAAAAAGAAACACUGCCCCGCACUGUGCCCGGGAAGCGGGAGCACAUGCAMUGUGCCCACCGGGGGUGUUCAGUGCUGCACUCUGGUACCAGGAGACAGUACUGCAGGUGAAUCAUGUGCUCGCACCUUAUGUUCCCAGCUGUUAACCACUGCACUGGCCUGUCUGAGAAACAGUACUGCAACCAAAGGAUUGCAGUUGGAAAAAAAAAAAACCAUUUUGAGAGCUGCUCGAGACUGGCAGACAUCAUACUAAGCUCCUAGAAAUGACAAGUUUGGACUGCACGGCAACAUUGUUCUUGCAGCUGCAUUCAAAGAAGCUAUCUGCUUCACUCCAGGUAAAGACGGUGGAAACAUAGCUGUAUAAAAUGAUGGAUUCU